rnacentral:lncRNA from 1 species
UGAUAGAAGGAAGAACAUCUUGUAGCUCUGUCAAGUCAAACUAUGAAUUUAAUAAGUAAUCACGAAGACAACAACAUAUUAGGAUACACACGGGUUUUUGUAGCAGACAUGUCACGAAGGGAAAACCAAAGUGCAUAGCUUCAUAUUACAAAGGCUAAUCAGGUGCACACAGAGAUGUGUAGGAUGGCCAAAGUUAAAAUGAGCAUGUUAUAAACUUGUUCAAAUUGACUAGGACUAGUAAGAUAUCACAGUAAAGGGAAGCACACUAUUCUAUUAAUAAAACAGUGUUCUUUAUCUGUUAGGUAGGAUUAAGUGAGCUUGCAGGUUUGAUUGGCUAAUCACGACUCAUAAUAUGGUCAUCAAAUUAAGAUAAUCACAAUAAAAUUUCCCGAUUGACUAUCGACAGUUAUCAACUUAUCACUAAUCAUAAUCAAAUAUACUCCCACCAUUCUAAGAUAGAUAAUGUUUUGCAUUUUGAGUCCUCAGUGCACAACAUAUAUANN